AUGGCGAAGCUGUACGUGCAGGCAGUGCCCCCGCCGGAUCUGAACAAGAACAUCGAGUGGUUCAUGUACCUGGGGGUCUGGACCACCCACAUCUUCAUCCUCUUCGUCUCCUGGCUCCUCAUCCUCUCCAUCUUCAGCUGCACCCCCGGCAUGGCCUAGACACUCGCCAACCUCGGCCACUUUGCGAUUGAAUCUUCAUUUCGGAUUACAUACCACUUCUUCCACUGGAAGAAGGGAACUCCAUUCGCUGAUGAUCAGGGGAUGCAUAAUAGGUUGACUUGGUGGGAGCAAAUGGACAACGACAAGCAGCUUACUCGCAACAGAAAAUUUCUUGUUGUGGUUCCUGUAGUCCUCUAA
rnacentral:rRNA from 1 species